rnacentral:rRNA from 1 species
GCCUACGGGGGGCAGCAGUGGGGAAUAUUGCACAAUGGGGGAAACCCUGAUGCAGCGACGCCGCGUGAAGGAUGAAGUAUUUCGGUAUGUAAACUUCUAUCAGCAGGGAAGAAAAUGACGGUACCUGACUAAGAAGCCCCGGCUAACUACGUGCCAGCAGCCGCGGUAAUACGUAGGGGGCAAGCGUUGUCCGGAUUUACUGGGUGUAAAGGGAGCGUAGACGGUAUGGCAAGUCUGAUGUGAAAACCCGGGGCUCAACUCCGGGAGUGCAUUUGAAACUGUCCAGCUAGAGUCCGG